UUCCAGCUGACGAAUCCAAAAUAGAACGAAACACUAGUCCUGGAU
rfam:Schistosoma haematobium C9650364_1, whole genome shotgun sequence.